UAGACCAUUUAAUCCGAGAGAAAUCAUAUUGGUAAUGACCUCUUAACUAAUUUUUUAAUUGAUUCAUUUCAGAAUUCCGAAGUUUCUUAUGGCUUAAUUCGAAAUGAAAUAUACCUUCUGUUCUAAAAUAAUCCUUUAUUGUAUUCUUACAAAAAAAAUAAAGAGGUUUUCAAUUUUUUCAGAUUUUUUUUUUUUUUGGCCAAGCGUUAAGUUCACUGUUCAGUUAGUUGCCCUAUUUUUUUGGGCCAAGUCAAACAAGGCCUUAAAUCGCGCAAUGGGACCGCAUCGGAAUUCACUUCAGAGGAUUUUCGCCCGUUACCUCAGCAAUCCAACCGAAACCCCUGCACUUCUUCUCCAAUGACGCUACUCUCCUCUCUCUUCUUCUCCAUUCCUCAUUCCUUCAUCCCUUAAACCCUACCCUAACUCUAAGCCUAGAUUUCGUAUUCCGUCAAGAACCCUCCUGAGAAGGCUAAACUCACCACUAAACCACCGCCUCCUUCUAAAAAGAAGUCUCUUGCAGUGGCCACCGACGAUCUCUUCCUUUGUUGAUUGCUAAUUGGUUUCACAAAUGAUCGAUGGAGGUUGUAGGGAUCUUUCUACGGCCGAUCCUUGAGAUGCUCGUGGUGUUAAUGGAGGAUCUCAUCGACUUGUUUACGAUUUGGAUGAUUUGCUUCACGAUUUGGUUACUCAAAUUUUGUGACGCGAGGCAGAAUUUCAAGGUAGCACCACUCCUCCUAGUAAGAAAACUCUUCCCAACUUGUUUCACACGCUGCACAACUCCUGCUGUUACGCUUGAAAUGAUUUGUUUCACAAUUCCUGUGAGAUUGUAGCUUGUCAAGUACAUCCAUUUCAAGUUUCAUUUCGAAAAUAGUUGAACUCACUACACCAUGCUAACUCUAAUUCUUCGAGGUCCUGCUUAGCCCUUAAAUUCGUCUCAUUUGCAUCUCGAACUUUAUACAUUUUGCAAUUCUGUAGUAUAAAUACUUCCCCAUAAAAGACUUAGAUUUCUCAAGUCUUUUAGUCCUGGCCCAUUAUGUUUGCAAACAAGGAAUUCUGACAGUUCUUGCAAAUUCAUCAAUCUACCAAUCUCUGAGCACCUCUCUCAUAAUUGCAGACUACCAGCAAUGUCAAGAUUGUGUAGGUUAAUUAAAUUUCCAAUUUUUGAUGGCAACAUACAAAGCUCUUUGCAAUAAUAGUGUUUCUAAAGUUUAGAGAGUACUCACCGAUUCAGUUAACCAUUUGAUUGAAGUCCCUGAUAAAUUAAGAUACCUUAGAUGUUUCAAAUCACCAACCGAGUCCGGUAGCUCAGUUAUGGCAUAACUAGACAAAGACAGCACCCUUACACAUUGUAACUUUAGAAAUAAAUCAAGCAAAAUCUUGUUUGAUAAGUAGCCUCUUCCAGGAUGUAAAAAGUAGCCUCUUCCAGGAUGUAAAAAGUAGCCUCUUCCAGGAUAUACUACCAGUAAUGUCAAGAUAGUGUAGGUUAAUUAAAUUUCCAAUUUUUGAUGGCAACACACAAAGUUCUUCAAAGUUGCGUGUUAACUGUUUGAUUGAUAAAUUAAGAUAUGUCAUAUGUUUAAAAUCACCAACUGAGUCGGGUAGCCCAGUUAUGGCAUAACUAGACAACACUUUAUAAAGAGGCUUGAACUUUUGAAGGACUUCAUAUUCUUCAUGAAUAAAUGAAAAGGGUCUAGUUCGUUUAGGAAUUUCAAAUUGCUUAUCACCUUCCAACUUUUCCAGCCUAAAGAGCACAUAUCCUCAGCAACAUACAGAGCUAGAUCAUUUAGAAGGUCAUGGCAUCAUGCAUCAUAAACAAAUCAUGUGAUUUUUGGAAAAAUGACCUUGAUAAUAUAUCAUCAAACCAUUCAUCAUCAAGACCUACCGCCAUCCACGACAAAAAUAGCUCAACGAUCUCACACAAUAAGCUUGCAUUUCUUCAACUGAGAUGGGAGAUGAUGAUAACUUAGUCUAAGAGUUCGAAGAAUAUGACUUUUUUGUUCAAGUAAAUCCCAUAUCUCGCUAUUCAAUACAUUUACUCACUAUUUCCUCACUUAUAACUUUGAGAUCUGGAUGUGCAUUAAAGUUUCGUCUCCGGAGUGAAAGUUGAGCAAAUAAAGAAAGACACUCAUCUUUCGAACGCUCAUUCAGAGGGUAACUCGGAGACAGACUAAUGGUUGAUGCAACGUUUCCAUGGCUAGUUGUGAUAAUAAUUUUUUUUCCCAUGUGCUCCAAACGUAAAAGGAUGUUGUCGGAACUCUCGCAAUGCAUACUUCUCAUUCCAAACAUCAUCCAAAUCUUGAAGAAAUCUUUUCCCUGGCAUGCACUCCUUUAUUUUCACUUGAAGCAUAUUUUGAGUCUCGAAAUUAUGAGUUUUUGAAGUGCCCGCCUCAAGAAUUGUAUUUGCUACUCUUAAUAACAUCAUAAUCAUUAGAAACACAGACCCACUCCUUGAGAUCAAACGACCUUCCAGACGUUCGUUAUCAUAAACCAUCAAAGCGAGAGUUGUCUUAACAACACCUCCCAUGCCCACAAUGGGAAUGAUAGAAACUUUGUCAAUAUUAGUUUCAUCCCUCAGGGCCUCAACAACAAUUGAAGUAUAGCCUCUUUGUCAUUUUUCUGCCAUAAACUUGAGACUUGUCUACCAAAGAAGUUGUUUCGUUGGCUGAUCCAGAACUAUAUAGGGCAGCUAAUAAAGAUGAUUUGGAAGCUCUACUUGUAGGUGUGGGUGGCUAUGGCAGGUCUCAUCGGUUUUAUCCAUCAGGUGAGAAAACUAGCUGUGUGUGAGUAUCCAUUUUUUCACUUAUCAAAAAAAAAAAUGAAACGUCUUUCUUUUCCUCUACUAUACUUUUUAGGUUUGAUUUGAGUUUUUAUUUUAUUUUAUUUUAUUUUUUAAAUUAUGUGUUUUAUUUAAUUAUUUAUUUUUUAAAAAAUAAAAUUUCUAUAUUGUAUUCGAGACCAAAUAGGAGACUCCUCUCACUCGAAGGAUCUCUAUUCAUCUCACACCACAAACCCCACCAUAAACAAAAGGGAGUGGCCCUCCAAGCAUCUCUGACUUAGCUCUCCACUAUAUACAUUUUCCAAGAUUCUAACGUGUCCACCAUGCAUUCUUGAAAAACUAAAGCUAGACCAAAAGCAACCAAAAACAUAGACCAAACUUUCCUCUCCCCUAGGUAAUGAAGCAGAAGAUGAUUUACAGAUUCAUCCAACUUCUUACACAUGCAACACCAGUUUACCACAAUAUGACGUCUCCUUCUAAGGUUGUCAAGGGUGAGGUUAAUCCCCAGGGUAACAGAAUAAGAGAAAAAUGCCACGUUCAAGGGAGCUUUCAUCCUCCAAAUAGCUUUCCAAGGAAAAGUGGGGACAGGAAGAUCCAUAAGACUUUGAACCUCAAACCACCCUCUCGAGGUACCCAUCCACCCACACGAUCUUGUCCAUGCCCACACCAUCCACCACCUGGCAAUACAAUAGACAUGGUUUGGGGAACUUUAUUUUAGAAGAAAAGCCCACUCCUUUCUCACGGUAAUAUCUUAUAUAUAUAUACAAGAGUACAGAAAUAAUGAAAAGACUAUAACACCCCUGUGGGAACUAACACCCCUGUGGGAACUAAUUUCAAGUGUCCUAGUGAUAUUCUAACAGAAAUCUGUAAUUCGAAACAUUCCCAAUCACGGAACUCUAAACAAAACUGCACAUUCUAAGUCACCCUCUCACAUGUUUGUUCAUAGAAUUCCUGAAGAGACGAGGAAACCUACGAGCCAAAGCAAAGUCCCCACACCAUUUGUCCUCCCAAAACCUGACAUGCCUUCCGCUCCUAACUUUGAAACUAAUGUGUUUGCAGAACUCGUCCCAACCCCUUAGGAUAAGUUUCCACGUACCCAGUCCUACUAGGAUUCUUGCCUUCCAUUAUGUGUAUUGAUUCAAAACUUUGGACUUACGGCCUGAAUUUUGGGUUUUUACUGAAAAUUGCACAAAUUGGGUGACAAAAUUGAACUUAUCUGAGUCUCUAUCUUCAUCUCUUGUACUAUUUUAGGUUUGAGUUAAGUUUGAGUUUGAAAUUCUAUGUUUUGAAUCAAAUGCUUUGAAUCAGAGCAUGAAUUUGAAUUAUUACUGAUCAUUACAUGAUUUGGGUGAAGAAAUUGAGAUUUCUCUUUGGAGUGAGUCUGAUAUUUGUUGGAGUUCGAUUUUUCUUACUUUCUUUUUUACUUGUAUUUUUGUUGGAUUGAAUUUACCUAUUGGGGAAUUGGGUUGGGGCUUAUACAGUUGAAUGGAUUUUGUAUUUUGGACAAUAGAGUUACUCGUUAAAAUGACAAAUUAACCUAAAAUGUAGAUUGGGAAACUUUGAAAGACAUUCCCUAUGUUUUACAUAUUCAAAAUAAAAUUUGGAUUGGAGUAUUCAGUUUCUUUUUAACUAUUUGAAAAGUUGAAGGAAAGAUGUGUUCUUUCUCUUGGCGUGAAGCGAUGGAGUUUUAGCCUCUGAUAGCGAGUCUCAUGUUUUGCAGUUUGGUUUGAUUAAAUAUGAUUAAAGUGGGAUGGUGAAGUGACUGCUUUGAUAUUGGUUUGAUAGGGUUCCAACAAUCACAUGCCAUAACAACCAUCCUCGGAUCCACCAUUAUAAGUGUUAGAUAGUUGGAGAGUUUGAUUUGGCUCUGAUUCCAAGUUAAAGAUGGUGAGAUGGUGUUUCUAGGGUUAGUGAGAGCAGAAGUGGAGAAGAAGAAGAGAAGAGAAAUAAUAUAAUCGUGGAAUAGAAAGCUCAACUUGAGAUUCUACACCACUCCAAUAUUAUAUUGAAAUAGCAUGAUUACAAAAUAGCCCUUAAGCCUACAGUAAAGCCUACAGUACAAUAAGACCCAAACUCUCUAACUAUCUAACAAUAAGUAUAGCUAUGAUCUAUUAACUACAUAUUUGUUGGUCUAUGUACUACUAGGGUAUGCACAUUUAAUGUCAAAAUCCAAUUUGAGCUAUCUCAUUUUAAGCUGUGAGCUCAAUAUGCAUCAUAUCAGUAUUUAUGACCAUAGUGUAUGCUGCUAGUGUCUUUACAUCAGUUCUGGUUUUGAAAAACUGUUAUCUUCAUUUGUCAGAAUAGAAUGUCUGCUAGUGUCUAAACUGCAUAUAUUUAGCAUGCUAAGCUGCAGAUUUUAGUCACAGCUGCUAUCAAGAUCAUGAGGUGAACUCUUUCUUCAUAUCUGGUCUUUUGAGUCAAUUUCUGGGCUAAGCAAGUCACAAAUCUCAUUCUAAGCCUAGUCCGGGGCUACACCAGUAAAUGGUAAGGCUGCAUCAAAAUCUCACCUAGUAAACCUAGCCAUUAGUGUCUAUUUUCUGCUAUUAAGUCUCCGAUGAAGCUGUCAAGUGUUCCACAUACAAAUCUGAGUCCCAUCUUGAUGUGAGCAUGUGUAAAUCAUCAAUGCAUAGCUGUUCAAGCCAUCAUCAAGAAGCAACUGAGGCUGUCUCAUGUUCUCACUACUCAAACGUCAGACUGUGGUAACAGCAGCUUCAGGUUCGCAGUUUUUGAGCAAUGCAAAAGCAUCUAUAGAUUGAUUUCAAUAAGCCAAUCCCAAUUUGGUACUCAAUCUCAGGGACUGAUCCGGAGAGGUUAUUGUUAUGGAGACUAAUUUCUCCCAAGUUGCGCAAACUACAAAUCUCCUUUGGAAUGGAUCCUUCAAGCUUGUUAUCAUCAAGGGAUCUGUGACAGAUUUUUCAUUGAUUCAAUUGCUCUAGACUCAAGUAUCGUUCAAGUGAUCUAGUACGCGAGCCAUAUGCAAGAUUGAAUUAUUGGACAAUAUAGAAACAAAAAAUCAUAUUAAUAUCAUAAAAGAUAAGGCUUCCGCAGUAAUUCUUCAGUGACUAACUCAUAAACCAGAAGUUAAAACUCUUGAACAAGCUAGGACAGAGAAUGUGCAAAACGGAGGUACACAAGCAUCAAAGCCUAUGAGUACUCCAUUUAGACUUUUGGCAGGAUUGUCACCAUAGACCGAGGAGGAGGUGGAUCACAUGUCUCGUGUUCCUUAUGCUAGUGUAGUUGGUAGCAUAUGCACUAGGCCAAUCAUUUCAGAUGCAGUGAGUGUAGUCAGCAGAUAUAUGGAUAGAAUUGGGAAGGUCCAUUAGCAGGUGUAAAGUGGAUAUUGCGGUACUUGUAAGGCAUUGUAGAGGUUGGCGUAGUACUAUGAACAAGGCAGUGACACGAUUGAGAGUGUUUUUGGAUAUGUUGAUUCGGAUUAUGCUGGAGAUUUUGAUAGGAACACGUCCUUGACAUGGUAUAUCUUUACUCUUUGUGGGAAUGUGAUCGGUUGGAAGACAACUUUGCAGUCCAUAGUUGCACUGUCUACUAUUGUGGUUGAGUACAUGGCAAUUACAGAGGCAGUGAAGGAAGCUAUAUGGCUGAAAGGUUUGGUUGGUGAUUUGGGCUUGCAGCAUGAUGAUUUAAUUGUGUUUUGCGACAGCCAGAGUACCAUACUCUGACUAAAACUCAUAUGUUCCAUGAGAGGAGCAAGCACACUGAUGUCAGGUUGCACUUCAUCAGAGACGUGAUUGUGCGGGUUGUUGUUGCAGUGAGAAAAAUUAGAACAACAGAGAAUUUGGAGGAUAUGAUGACUAAGGUUGUUCCUACUAUCAAGUUUAGACAUCGUGUGGACUUGAUUGGUGUCUGCAGUUGCUGAGGCUCUUAGGGGCAAGUGAAGGAUGCAAAAUGAGUAGCUGGAGAUUGUGGAACUUGGUGUAAUUCGAGCUAAGGUGGAGAUUUGUUACGUGGCCCAAAUUUUUUUCAAUACAUUAUUGUCCAUGUCUGGAGUCCUUCACAGUUUUGUAAUAAAAAAAUUUCCACUUCUUGAAAUAUGGUGCAUGGAGGAUGGAGGUCACUACCGGCCCAACAUAUAUCGCAACAGAAUGACAUAAGCAAAGCAAGCUCAUGUGUUUUUUUUUUCUAUAGUCUCAUACAUGGCUUUUCUCUUCUUUUAAUAUAUAUGCAUUCUACUCGUCAAAUUUUUGUAGUUGGUGGCCUUGAAGAUUGACUAUAUCCACUUAUUCAUUUAUAGAUGGUGUUCUUCC